UCCUCCCUCUGGCGGCGUGCCUAAUACAUGCAAGUAGAACGCUGAAGGAGGAGCUUGCUUCUCUGGAUGAGUUGAGAACGGGUGAGUAACGCGUAGGUAACCUGCCUGGUAGCGGGGGAUAACUACUGGAAACGAUAGCUAAUACCGCAUAAGAGUAGAUGUUGCAUGAAAUUUGCUUAAAAGGUGCACUAGCAUAACUACCAGAUGGACCUGCGUUGUAUUAGCUAGUUGGUGGGGUAACGGCUCACCAAGGCGACGAUACAUAGCCGACCUGAGAGGGUGAUCGGCCACACUGGGACUGAGACACGGCCCAGACUCCUACGGGAGGCAGCAGUAGGGAAUCUUCGGCAAUGGACGGAAGUCUGACCGAGCAACGCCGCGUGAGUGAAGAAGGUUUUCGGAUCGUAAAGCUCUGUUGUAAGAGAAGAACGAGUGUGAGAGUGGAAAGUUCACACUGUGACGGUAUCUUACCAGAAAGGGACGGCUAACUACGUG
rnacentral:rRNA from 1 species